AUUGAACGCUGGCGGCAGGCUUAACACAUGCAAGUCGAGCGGGGAAGGGUAGCUUGCUACCUGACCUAGCGGAGGACGGGUGAGUAACACGUGGGUAAUCUCCCUUUAGGUUCGGGAUAACCCGGGGAAACUCGGGCUAAUACCGGAUAAGACCACGGUACGAGAGUACUGUGGGAAAAGUAGAGGCCUUCUUCGGAAGCUUUACACCUUUAGAUGAGCCCGCGGCCCAUCAGGUAGUUGGCGGGGUAAUGGCCCACCAAGCCUAAGACGGGUAGCUGGUCUGAGAGGAUGAUCAGCCACACUGGAACUGAGACACGGUCCAGACUCCUACGGGAGGCAGCAGUGGGGAAUCUUGCGCAAUGGGCGAAAGCCUGACGCAGCAACGCCGCGUGCGGGAAGAAGGCCUUCGGGUUGUAAACUGCUUUUGUACGGAACGAAACGGUCCUGGUUAAUACCCGGGGCUAAUGACGGUACCGUAAGAAUAAGCACCGGCUAACUACGUGCCAGCCGCCGCGGUAA
rnacentral:rRNA from 1 species